UGCAGUAGUGAUCGGUUUCAGGCCCGUUAAGUCAGUUCAACAGCAGCAGCAGAAUUACAGCGUGACACUGCGCGAGCUGCUUACAGUGUAACACGCGAACAGAGCAGAGCGUCACAGUCUAAUAGAACGGAACAAUGAAAGCUUUCAGACGCUGGCGGCUCGAACACUCACAUCACAGACAAGACCCUCUCUAGGAUGAGAAUCUAGGUAACUAGGAAUAACACAAGUGUCAGUCUGGAUCCAGCCCUUAUGCACAUCUGAGAUUGCUGAACAUAUGAGAAGAGAAGAUGCCAACCCUCCGAGGACCUCAGGACGAUGACGGCAAGCCUGAGCCAACAUACAAAACUACCAAAGUUUGAUCACUACAUAUACUGUUACGGACCUGCCGCUGCACGUAACAAUACUCAUUGCUGUUAAUAGUGUUCACCGUCUGUACAUGUCUUUAACUAACUGCAUGAUUUUCUUUCUGUACAUUUCUGCCAACUGGACAUCACCUUGGCAUCCCUGACAAGCUUCCCCUAAAUGUAAUGUAGAAACUUUCAUUUUCUGUGAAGCUGCUUUUCACAAUAAAAAUUGUUGCGAAGUUCUAUACAAAUAAAUGUGAAAUAAAGAGA